rnacentral:rRNA from 1 species
UAGGGAAUCUUCCGCAAUGGGCGAAAGCCUGACGGAGCAACGCCGCGUGAGUGAUGAAGGUCUUCGGAUCGUAAAACUCUGUUAUCAGGGAAGAACAAAUGUGUAAGUAACUGUGCACAUCUUGACGGUACCUGAUCAGAAAGCCACGGCUAACUACGUGCCAACAGCCGCGGUAAUACGUAGGUGGCAAGCGUUAUCCGGAAUUAUUGGGCGUAAAGCGCGCGUAGGCGGUUUUUUAAGUCUGAUGUGAAAGCCCACGGCUCAACCGUGGAGGGUCAUUGGAAACUGGAAAACUUGAGUGCAGAAGAGGAAAGUGGAAUUCCAUGUGUAGCGGUGAAAUGCGCAGAGAUAUGGAGGAACACCAGUGGCGAAGGCGACUUUCUGGUCUGUAACUGACGCUGAUGUGCGAAAGCGUGGGGAUCAAACAGGAUUAGAUACCCUGGUAGUCCACGCCGUAAACGAUGAGUGCUAAGUGUUAGGGGGUUUCCGCCCCUUAGUGCUGCAGCUAACGCAUUAAGCACUCCGCCUGNNGAGUACGACCGCAAGGUUG